GUCGGGUGGUAAGUGGAGAGAGUCGUCCCUGAGCCAUGGUGCGCAGUUGUGAUGCGCGAAAGUACUACGGCGUCGGGAGUCAGUCAACUCGGUGACGUUCUACUGUGAAUGUCGUAUGGUGAAUUUGUUAUGCCGGUAUUUACGAAACUGAAAUGAAGUGAUAAAUUUACGCACACAUAUGUAUUUUCAAGAGUGAAUCGUGUAAUCAUAAUAAUAGUUUAAUCGUUAAACGCAUCAAAUAGGCUUAGUUAAGAAGAAUAAGAUAGGAGUUGCAUUGGGGCGUCUCUUGCAAACUAGAGCAGCGAACAAUGUAAAGUCGAUAUUUUUACAAAUUUCAUGUGAUGUAUGUGCAAUCCAUAGGCAAAGGAUAAUCAAACAAAAGAAGAAAUUAAAUUGAACAAAAUGAUUUGCAUAAAUGAAUAUGAUUUGAUUUGAGAAUGUAUCCAUAUAGUGGUUCAUAAUCGUGACGAAUGAGUCGUGAAAGCAUUAUCGAAAUAAAAUUUCUACUUUUCUUCGCGAACGAAUAGUGAAUAAGCAUACGUUGUCAUUUUCGUUCCGUUAUUAUUGCAAAAGACUUGAAAGAAAAAUAUACAGAAUAGACAGAUAUAAUAUUAUAUUAGGCGUGGAACGAAAGGUAUGUUGAAAAAAAAAAAUCACAAGAAGGCGUAGCGCAAACUUGAUUGAAAUAAUUAGGGAAAAAAAAAAUACGAUCGAAAUAAGGAAGAGAGAGAAAGAGAGGAGCCAGGAUCGGUUGGAAGAGAGUCGAGGUCGUCGGUGAAGUAGAAGGCGCGAAGCGCGCGCGCGACGAGUUUCUCGUCGUGACGAGUCGUGAGGAUGGAGGACGAGUUACGAUGCCCUUGUUGUAAAGAAUUGUUCGUUGAACCGGUGCUAUUACCAUGCUGGCAUGCUCUUUGUCUUGCAUGCGCGGUUAAUCUGCAAGCACCACCGGAUUCACCUCCAGAAUCGACGACUGAUUCGUCGAAUGCACCGGGAUCUGAUCAGGAAGCGGAUAAACUUUCGAUUCUUUCCGAAACUGAUUCUGGUGUAGUGUGCAGCAGCACAUCAACUAGCUCGCGACCAGGAAGCUAUGUCGGCACACCCGGAAACGGAGGUUUUCCACCAUCAGGCGGCACUUUAUGCCUCUCCUGUCCUGUUUGUCAAAAGACCGUUUAUUUUGACGAAGGAGGAGCUCACAAUUUACCCAAAUACAGGGCAAUGCAACAUAUCGUAGAAAAAUAUCAAGAAUCGAGAAACACGAGACUGCAAUGCCAAAUGUGUGAGGCUGAACCCCGGGACGCUACCGUCGCCUGCGAACAGUGCGAGGUUCUGUAUUGCGACGCGUGCAGAGAAUCGUGUCAUCCAAAGAGGGGACCUUUAGCGACACAUAACUUGGGCCCGCCUCGAGGCAGCUGGCAAUCGAAUGGAGGAGGUAAAGGUGUUCGCGGUUCGAACGCGGAAACUACGCCUCUCUGUACCGAUCAUAACGGCGAACCGUUGACCCUUUACUGCGCUCUUUGCAAGAUCGCGAUAUGCGCUCUUUGUCUUCGAGAUCGCCAUGCAGCUCAUCCGCACGACGUGCUCCCAUUGGCCGCAGCUUGCAAGGCUCAAAAGACGGAGCUCUCGCAAAAUUUGCAACAACUGUCGGAAAGGGCUCGGUCGACGACGGAAUUCAUUCAGAGGCUCAAAGGGAUGACCGACAAAGUGCACGAGGAGUGCGUCGCCCUGGAGGAGGAGGUGGAGGACAGGGUGGCGAAUUUGGUGAGUCUUUUGCAGGCGAGGAAAUCGCGGUUGAUCGAGGCCGCGCGCCAAACCCGGGAGGCGAGGGUGCGCUCUCUGAGGGACCAAGUGGCCAGAUGCGCGUCCCACCUGCAGGCGACCACCGCUCUCCUCACAUUCUGCAUCGAGGCGCUGAAGGAGAACGACAGCGCUGCCUUCCUUCAGAUAGGCGGCAUGCUCUCGGUCCGCGCGGCGACCGCCGCCGGCUCUUGGGGCGGCGCCGAGGGGGUGCAAGAAAUUGCUCGGCUCCCGUUGCUCGAUCUCACUCUGGAUGACAAACCGUUGCGACGCGCUAUCGAUCAACUUACCUUUGUUCAGUUGAAACCAUCGGAAGGGGAAGAGCGGUACCCGAUUGCAGCCCCUGGAGCGCCGAUAUUGAUACCGGAAGAGUGCAGCGCGGAGAACAACAGCGUGACAGUCGCCUGGCAACCACCACCUGGCCACGGAAUCGUUGGGUGUGCCGGUCAAAGGGGGCCCGCCAUCGAGGGAUACUUGUUGGAAUUGGACGACGGAUGUGGCGGUGAAUUCAGGGAGGUGUACUGCGGUCGAGAAACGAUCUGCACCGUGGACGGAUUGCAUUUCAACUCUCUGUACAAUGCCAGGGUGAGGGCGUUUAACAGCGCCGGGGAAGGCGAGUAUUCCGAGUUGAUCGGCCUCCAGACUGCCGAGGUGGCAUGGUUCUCGUGGGCGACCGGGGCAUCCGGUAUACCGCAGGAGGUAUCAAUUUCCGAGGACGCGAUGAGCGCAUCCUGCGAAGGUUACGAGCACCGAGUUGUCCUUUCCAGCGUUGGAUUUUCACGGGGCGUUCAUUAUUGGGAAUUAACGAUCGAUCGUUAUCACGCGGACACCGAUCCCGCCUUCGGUAUAGCCAGGGCCGAGGUGUCGCGGGAUAGAAUGCUCGGCAAGGACGACAAGGGUUGGAGCAUGUACAUAGACCGGCAGCGUUCUUGGUUCAUGCACGGAGGGGGCCACGCGCAGAGGACCGAGGGGGGGGUGCAGCAGGGGUCCACGGUGGGCGUGCUCCUCGAUCUGGACACCACUCACACCCUCCGCUUCUUCGUGAACGACCAGCCCCAGGGUGGGAUCGCGUUCCGCGAUCUCUACGGCGUUUUUUACCCGGCCGUGAGCCUGAACCGCGGGGUGACCGUCACUUUGCACACAGCGUUGGACGUGCCUCGACACUUGUUGGCGCUGCACGAAGAGUACAUGACGGACACGAUUCAGAGCUAGGGGUACCUAACCGUCCUGAAGAAGGGCCUUUUGCAGGAGGCCGGCUCGCCCGGCCCCUCGUCCGCGGGCUCGAGCGAAAAAUCGAGCAGGGAGUUCAACGGUCAGCUCGAGAAGAUAGUCGAGGAAUGCCUCGCUGAGGCCAACUGAUCAUCGACCGACCCUCCCCAUAAAUUAAAGUUUCUUUAAUUUAUUUUCUUAUUCUACAGGAAUGGUAUAUCCUCUUCCUUUACUUUCUCCGCGGGAUUAAAUUAUUGCGCUAUUUUCGUUUCGCGAGCAAGUUGGAGAUUGGUUCGAUUUCGCCACCUCGAUAAAUAAUUACGUGGCUUUGUAACAGUGGGAGGGGAGCGUGUCGAAAUUGGCGGAAUCGCGACGUUUUUAUAUAUAUAUAUAUAUACAUGUUUCUUUUUAAAACGACAAGAUUAUUUUUCUCUUUGAAAAAAAAUCACUGCCAGUACAUAUGAAGAUUCGUCGAACCGAAGACUGCCAUUUUUCGAGGGGGCCUAUAAUUAAGAAAUAAAACCGAAAUAUUCUCCGUCUAACGAUCGUGGGAGUAGAUGAAAUCGAACGAGUGUGAGAGUAACAAGCACGCUUUAAAUCCGAUUCAAAGUGAGGGAAGAAGAAGAAGAAGAAGAAACCGUUUAAAGAAAAAGGUGCAUAUAUAUAUGUAUAUAAUUUACUCGAAGAUGAUUUUUAAACUCGCAAACGAGCAUUCUUCUCGAUUCGAAACGGUCAGUUUAUGGAAAUAAAGGAAUUGAGUGUGCGCAUAAAUCGUUGAUAAUUUUAAUUAUUCGGAGAAGGAGAUAUAUAUUCUCGAUACAUCUUACCCCCUCCUCUUUGUAGAGAGAUUCGUAUUUGGACACGGAGGAGGAGAAAAAUUGGAAAAAGUCGAGUUACGUUACGCGAACAUGCGGCAACACCGGAAGAGGAAUAUUCUCUGGUGGCGAGACGCGUCGAACAAUGGCGCAUUUAUUACGAGCAACCGAUGUCCUCCUCGCUGCGUUUAAAACGACUUCGAUCCGCUUUGAUCGCUCCCUUUCGAGAAUCCACGUUGUCCAACCUUUCCUCGCGAGUUGAUCGAGCGGAUUUAGAACGAUCGAGAGCAAAACCGUUUCGCCAUUACCGUUGUACCAUAUCCGUUAAAUUUCAUUUUCUUCUCCUCCUCCUCCCUCUUUCUUCCCUUUCCUCCGACCCGAUUCCCAAUCACGAUUUCACUCACUCCUCUCCCCCUACUCGAUGAAUUCAACGCGUUAUUGUUCGCCGCGAAAUGAAUUUGUCUGGCCGCGAAUAGGAGGGGGAGAAGGAAGAGGAGGAGAGAAGAAGGGAGGAGGAUGGAAACGAGAACGAGCUUAGCGGAAACGAGCGGAUUUGAUUCGAUCGACGUCCUUGCUAAUUAACACGUUCCCCUUUAAUACGCCUUUUUAACACGAUUUUUUUCGAGAGAGAGCGCCGCCAUCGGGGAGCUCCUUUUUCUCUUUUUUUAAAUACUUGGAUAGAUGAAACGAAGGAAGGAGAGAAAAUGAAAGAAGGAGAAGGAACGCGGAAGGAGAGCUAUUCUCCUUCGCUUCCACGAUAGUCCGACGAUACUCGUCAAGCUGAUGGCCUUCGCUCGAUGCUCGCGGGAUCCAAAGCUUCCCAAGGAGGGAAAAUUUGUAUUAGAUCUCGGGAUUUCGUUUCGAAGAAUCGUUAUUAUAAAUUUAAUUGUUUUUCUUUUUUUUUGUCGUACGAAAAUCGAGAAUUGUUCGAGAAUUGUCCAUCAAAGUUACGCACGUUUGCAUGUGAACAUGAUAUAGUGAUGCAUGAUAUAGGAGUAUUUGUAUUGUUUGCUUCAAUCGAUGUCUUCAUAUACUUAUUCAUUAAUCAUACGAUUAAUUUUUUCGACAAAUUCUAUCCUUGAAAUACAGAUUUAUAUUUCUGUAAUAAUUAAGUUAUAUUAAUAGAUAUAAAAGGGAAAUUACUUUUUUUUUUACAAAUAAUUGCAUCAUGUCUUCAUAUACGUGCAAGCGAUACUUGUCCAUUAAUCGUACGAUCGUAAUCUUUUUCCGACAAAUUCUAUCCUUGAAAUACAGAUUUAUACUUCUAUAAUAAUUAACUUAUAUUAAUAGAUAUAAAAGGGAAAUUACUUUUUCCUUCUUUUUUUUUACUCGAAUCUAAUACAAUUAAUCGCACCGAAUCAAUUAAAGUUUCUUAUAUUAAUAAUAACAAUUCCAAUUUUGACUCGAUUAACUCAGAUUGGAAAAAUUGGAAGAUUUUCGAAGAAGAUCGUAACGUUGGUGAAAAUUAUUUGCCCUUUUGAAGGAAAAUAUUGAAUCUUUGCGGGGCGAAACUAGCGGAUUUGAUCUGGGAAUCGGCGAUCGACGUCCUUGCCAAUCAACGCGUUCGCCUUUAACACGCCUCCUCCAUCCUCGAGGAGUUCUUUUUUCUUUCAAAUACUCGGAUAGAUGAAACGAAGGGAAGAGAGAAAGAAAGAAAGAAAGGAGAAGGAACGCGGAGAAGAAUCUUUUCUACCUCCACUACUCGUCAAGCUGAUGGCUUUCGCUCGAUAUUUCUCCCCGGAAUAUGCCGUUUUUUAAGCGGCAAGAUUGCGCGCCGUCUAUUCUAUUCGAGACGAGCGAAACGUAAAUUUGUGCCAACGUUGAUCGAAACCACGCACACGCGCACUCACGCGACUCGAGCGAGUUUUUUCUUCUCUGCGAAAUCGGGUGAAAAAUUGUCGAGCCGAUACCUCUUCUCGAAUCGCGGUUUCAAAAGGCACGUGUAUCUAGGACGCGAAUUCAUUUAUAGCGAGGUUUCCAUUAGCGAUUAAUAAGGAAAAAAGUAAUCUCGAACGAAUGAAAUCAUCGUCGAAUGAAAUAAAAAGUUGGAAAUUUCGAAAAAAUCCCCCUCCCUCUCUUUCCACCGAUCGCAAAAAUUCGAAUGGUCGCUUAAUUGAAAAUGGAAGGGUGAAAGAUUCGUCUCGCAUCAACGUUAUUUGGAAAGAAUCGCGAAUUGAACGGAACCAGACAAGACAAGGGGGGCGGGGGAAAAAAAGAUUGUCGGAAAGAGGACGAGAGGGCAAGAGGCCUCGAGUUACCUCCUGCCGAGCAAGCAACCAGAAGCCAGGAAAGUGGCGCAACGCCACGGUAGAAGAGUCACCGCGAAGUUUCGUCUUUCACCGCAAAACUGAGCCGGGAGGAAGCAAAGCUUGUGUCCGCCUUUAAAAAUCGAACCGGCACCGCUUUCGUAACGAAACGCCCGCCCCCCGCCGCCCCUCCCCCUCCCUCCUCCUCGCCUCUUUCUCCUCGAGUACCGAUACUAUCACCGCCGCUGUUAUUUUUCCUCCCAUUUCGAGGAAUGGAAAUACGCGUCGAGUUUCAAAGGGAUGCUCCUCGAUUCGCGUGCGCCGAAUUACCGAUAGUCGAAACGAGUCUGUUGUCGUUCAUCGCUUCGAGGGAGGCAUUGCAUACCAAAUCCCCUCCACCGUAGAGAAAAUGAAUUCUUCCAUUGUUUCGUUCGAUGUGCCGCCUGUAAAAAAAAAAGAAAAAGGAAAAAAAAGAAAGAAAGAAAGAAAGAAAGGCUGGGGAAUCCUCGUUGCGCGAUUUCGAUUCGUUGUCGAAAACGUUUUCUAACAGCCAGCGAGAUAUUGAGACGAUUUUCUCGAAAGUUUAAUUUUAUUUUUUCGUUCGUUGGGAUAGAUUUUAAAAAAAGAUAAAAGAUCUCUAUGAAAUUUGAUGAUUGAAAGAAAUUCUGGAAUUCUCGUACAGUUUCAAGGAACAAUAAGGUGUUCUAGGACACGAGUGGAAAAACGAAAGGCGAGAAACUUAAUCCGGGAUCAGACCAAGGAUUAACGAUGCUCGACGAGUGCGAUCGACUACGAUUUGUCUGCUCUGCAAGAAACGGAUUAUCGUUACGUUCAACCUAUCGAAUAAAGUCAAAUUCGACGAGGAUAAAGAUACCUCACUUAAUUAUUACGUUCUCCAGCACUAUUUUUCAAGAUGAAAAAAGAAAAUCCUUAUCGUUUCCGCGAUGCUCCGCACUCGUAUUCGUUUCACGUUUCAAGAAAAAUUUACACGAUCCAAGAUAAUAUAACCAUUCAUCCAUACUGAUGAAAUUUGAUUGGAAUCGAAUGAAAAGCGUACGAGAGAGAUUUAAUAACGCGAAAACUCGGCCAGCUUGGGAAACGAAGAUGGAAAUAUUGUAGGAUGGUUAGUCAGCCGCGCCGCGUGGAGAAUACGAUUAGCAGGCAACGCGUGGAAAUUAAUUUUCGCGGUUGGGAAACGAUCGUCGGAAACGCGAAUCUCCAAUGCUCCUCCUCCUCGAACCAAUUCCCAACGAUAAUCGGCCUUCCCUCCCAAUUAUUUCCUGUUCGUUGCCUCUGUCGGAUCGUUACCUCCUCUUCAAGAAGGUUCCGAAUUAUUGCAACUACGAACGAAUCACUUCGAUUCGUACAUCUACGUCUAUUCCGCCAAUUGUUAUUGUUAUUAAUUUGUAAAGUUUCGAUAAAUUUCUUCUAACGGGAUAUAAAAACAUUUUUUUUUCGAAAACGUAGUAACCGAAUCGAAUUUUUUUUAAUAAUACAUAUUUGAAUUUAUCAACAAAUGAAGUGUUGGAAUUGGUGUUCUCGCUCGUAGAGACGAAUGUGCUAAUGUUAAAUUUCGUACGAUCGGUAAAGUAAUUUAUAUCGAUAGGGAAGUGGACAGUCGUGUAAAAGGGAAAAAAAAGAGGAGAGAAUGAAAACGCAACGAGGAAGAAAAUUUGUCGUGAAGUUGAAUGGAAAAUGAAGAAAAAUCGAAAAAAGGAUUUAAACCUCGUAAAUUUCCACAAUUCCUGGUAAAUGUUAUCAAUUUCGAUCAGUUGGAAACUUUUUCGUGUUUCUUUCUUUAUCGUAUCAUUGGGAUAAAUAUAAAACGUGGUUGCCAAGAAGUGAUGAAUUUCGAUCAUUAUUCUCGUCAGAAUCAACAAUUUGUAUAUAUCUCCGUAAAAUGUUUACUUAUUUACUGUACGCUUAUCAAAUCACUCAUCCGAGACAUUUGCUCGUCGAGAAUUUUAGAAACGAAGGGACAAACAAAGCCAUAAUUAACGCAAUCAUCCAAACGAUUUGAAAAAGUAUAAUAAUAAGCACCUAUAAUUAUUUUUAUUUUUUUCAAUUAAAUUAAACCAUAUAUAUAUGUACAUCGUUUUGUAUGUUACAUACAAUAUGUCGCGUAAAUAUCGCAUUAUAAAGAAUGGCGUAUAAAAUAGUUGUUUCUAAAUAUUGUUUUGUGAUUUAACCAGUGACAAGAUAAAACUAUGGCAACAUUCGAAAAAACUUUGAAAAAUCGAUGAUAUAAAGUGAUAAAAGAUCCAUUAUAGAUUCCGAUGUAACGCAGAUUCAGUUAUCAAAUUUACGAAGAAUUAUGAAGAAUUUUAUUAAAUGCAUUAUAAGAUGUUUCUAAAUCGAAAAUCAAUUGCCUGACUUGAUUAUCGGAUAAUUCAUCGGAAGCGGACAUAUUAUUCAAAGUUUGUAACCAUUCGGCAACUUUUUCUUUUCCAUCGAAAUCGCUUGGCAAUAUACUCAAUCGAUUCAUAGUGUCCACUAGAUCUCUUAAAUCUGGAUGUAACUGAUCCAUCGCUUUGAUUUCUAAUCGUAAUUUAUCCAUUAACGUAAUGAACAAAGAAACGAUAUCCGCGAUGCAUUUAGAUGUAUUGCCUUUGUCAUCCUUUAUAGUGAUCGGUCUGUCUUCCUUGAUCCUCUCGAGCGCUGCUGGGCAAUCUAAUCGAAAUGCUCUAGCAAAUGCAUCUAUUGUAGGAAAUUGAUCGCUUUGUACCUAAGCAAAAAAAUAUAUUUAAAACCAGUUACAAUUAUUGCGAUAAAUUUAUCAUAAAAUUAAAAUACCUGUUUGAAAGCUGCUCUAUAUUGUACCAAUAAUUUGCUACAAGCAGCCGUGUAUUCUUUUGGAGUCACACAAUCUCUGAUGUAAGCUUUCUCUAAAUGCUGCAAUGUAUUCACAACUGCGUAUAGAUCAGCUUGAUUGUCAUGCUUUUCUCUUUCUCUUGCAUUCUUAUAAAGUUUCACUUCUUCGUAAAGUUCAGGUCGAUCUUGAGCUAUCGACAUUAUUAUACCUGUAAUCAUGACAAAUAAUAAUAAAACAAGGUAAUAAUAAUUAUAGCAAAUGUCAAAUUCUACUUUAGGUUUAGGUUAGGUUUGAUUAAACUGAAUCAAUCAUUUCGAUAAUAAAUCAUUAAGAAAAUGUUAUGAUAAACUAACAUAACGUGAUACGAUGAAAGUAAAAAACAAAUAAAUAAUCCGUUAUAACGAAAAUUAUAAUAUAAAUUAAAUAUUAAAUGAAAUGUCAAAUGACAGCUACGUACGUUAACGAUAUAAAAUAACAUGGAAGAAUAAUAAUGUAAUACUUACGUUUCAAAUUCUUUUAUAUUUUUCUCGUUUAUAUCGUAUUAAAAUUAAGAGAAAAAUAAGAUUUACAGAAAAAUAAUAAUAUUAGACUUAGAAUAAGAAACUUUUACCAACAAUACAAAAAACGUUAUGCGAAAAA